CCUGUUUACAAAACUUACAAUCAUCCAUACAUAUUCAAACCACCAAAAAAACCAUCAUUCCAUACCCAAAAUCUUCAUAACCAUGUAUAAUUAGCUAAUUUUACAAAAGACGGAACACAAAGAAUACAUACAUGCAGAAAAUAGAGAAACAACAUGUUGAGCAUAAGAUCCUUUACUUUAUAGCUUACAUCAAGUAUAUUCUUUACAGCUUACACCAUGUAUCCUUCAAUAUAUACCUGAAAAUAUUUAAAAUUUAAAAAUUAUCGAAAUAUGCGAGUCAAAAUAAAACAAUUGUAAAUCUGAAACAUAAGACCCCUUACUUUACCCUGAAUUAUCUAAAAAACAAAUGAGAACACAUAUUUGUAUGUAGGGGGGAUGACUUAGAUUGAUAUAAGUUAGAAUUUAGAGAGAUUGUAACAAAUAAUCAAUUCAAUUAGGAAAAGAUAUGGACUUACACUCAAAUAAAAUUUUCUUAGUACCAUUUCAACAAACGGUUCAUUUGGUUAAUGAUUUAAAUCAUAAAUCUGUAUUGGUGGCAGUAUAAUGGGGUGUGUGUGUGCUACUGCUGUGAAAGAGAGAGACAGAGAUUAAACACCUAUUGUAAAAAAAAUAAAUUUAAAACACCAAAGUUAAACUGAAGAUGUGGUCGACUUUAUAAGAAGACUUAAGAUGAAAUAGAUAAGAAUUUUUAACUGAAGCUAUUCGAAAAUUUAAGUUAAAGAUUUCAAGGUAUAACUGAUACUAAUGGUUGAUUCACUUGAUAAAAAAUUCAUGAUAAAAAUAAUUUUAAUUUAAACCACAACUCAGUUGAUUCGUAAAUUUAAACCAAUCUACUGAAAUUAAAAAACAUCAAGAUUAAAAAUUUUAAAAAAGAAAAAAGAAACUAUUUACAACUUACAUAAUAUGAGUACCAAUUUGUCUUAACUCCUAAUGAAAGAUUUAAAAAAAACAUCCAAAAAGUUCUCAUGAAGAACAACUGAGAAGAAAAAUUAAUUCCAUAAUCACGCAUUAAACCCCAUUCAAGUAACAUAUUUGCGAUUUCUUCAAAAAGAACAAAUGAAAAGAAAGAUUAAAUCUAUAAUCACGCAUUAAACCCCAUAAAAGUUGAACAAAAAACCAAAUUUAUCCAAAUUGAAACCUCGAUCCACCAAAAUAAAUUCAAUAUACAAAAUCCGGACGCAAACCCUUUCAAUAAAAAGAAAACGAUAAAAAGCAAAGAAUAAGAUAAACUACUGCUGUGAAAGAGAGACACAGAUAUAAAACACCCAUUGUAAAAAAAAUAAUUUAAAUACCCAAAGUUAAACUGAAGUUGCCAUCGACUUUAUAAGAAGACUUGUAAUGAAAUAGAUAAUAAUUUUUAACUGAAGCUAUUCGAAAACUUAAGUUAAAGAUUUUAAGGUAUAACUGAUACUAAUGGUUGAUUCACUUGAUAAAAACAAUUUUAAUUUAAACCACAACUCAGUUGAUUUGUAAAUUUAAACUAAUCUGCUGAAAUUAAAAAACAUCAAGAUUAAAAAAAAAAUUAAAAAAAAUUAUUUACAACUUACAUAAUAUGAGUACCAAUUUGUCCUAACUCCUAAUGAAAGAUUUAAAAAAAACAUCCAAAAAGUUCCCAUGAAGAACAACAGAGAAGAAAAAUUAAAUCCAUAAUCACGCAUUAAACCCCAUUCAAGUAACAUAUUUGUAAUUUCUUCAAAAAGAAUAACCGAGAAGAAAAAUUAAAUCUAUAAUCACGCAUUAAACCCCAUAAAAGUUGAACCAAAAACUAAACCCAUCCAAAUCGGAACCUCGAUCCAACGAAAUGAAUUCAAUAUACAAAACCCGGAGUCACUCAACCUUUAAAAAACCACCAUUUUAAUCAAUAGUUCAGCAAACCCAUUCAAUAAAAAGAAAACGAUAAAAAACAAAGAAUAAGAUAAAGUACUUUUGCCUUCUCACAAAGGUGUUUGCUUCUAAAUCUUUUCACAAUAACAAAUUAAAAAAAUCUAACAGUACCAAUCAGUUUAAAAUCCAAUUUGAAUCUUUUACCACAAACUUUUAUGUAAAACAUUUAAAAAUGUAACUUUUAUGUAAAACAUUCAUCAAAAACAGGGGGGAAUAAAACAUGGUUUUCAACCACAUAUGGGUAUUGAAGGUACUCAUUUUAAUAAAGCUUUUAAUACUCAUUUUCUACACCUCCCCUACAAAAGGCUAUUUUAUUGAAGGUACUUUGAAGACUGGUGAUAUAAAAGGCUAAUUAAAAUUUUAAAUUACCCUUUAUAAGACCUCAACCCGGAGUUCUUUUUAAGGUUAGGUAUUUAUAACAAUUUUUCAUUACGUCGUGUCUUACUCUCCUUAAACUAUAAAGUAUUUUUUCAAAAAUAUAAUCAUCCAAAAUCUUCCGUUCCCAAGCAUCACCAAAAUCAAGUCAGUAGUGAGACACAUUAUGUGGACUGAUCUUAACAGUAGUAAUAACGGUAUAUCAGUUCAAUUAAGAGGUAAGGAAAAUAUAAGUAUUGACCAUCAUUCAGGGUUAACCUAGUAUACUUUUUUAUGUAUAUGGCUUAACCAUUGCUUCACAAAAGAAAUAAUAAUCUUGAUACUUAAAGUAGUCAUUAACAUCAUGUAUACACAUAAUAAUCAUUCAAUCAAAACAAUGAGCAGGGCUUACAGAAGCAGAGCAGUAAAUACCUUCAAGAAUGCCGCUAACUUCCAAACACCAUGUAUUCCUUCAAGAAUGCCACUAACUUCUAAACCUUCAUUUUCCUGUACCAAAUAAUGUUGCCAAUAAAUACGAAUAGCAAUCAAUUUUGAACUUAAAUAAAUAAAAAAAUAACAAAAAAAGAACAGGGCUUACAGAAGCAGAGCAGUAAAGGGUUUGAUUCAAGAAAAACUAAUGAUAUUAUCAUAGCCUAACCAAUCUACUAAAAUUAAAAAACAUCAAGAUUAAAAAAAAAAAUUAAAAAAAGAAACUAUUUACAACUUACAUAAUAUGAGCAACUCAUUGAAGCAAAUUGAUAUCCUUGUAGGUGAAUACUGUAGUGGAAAUUAGCAACUCAUUGAAGCUUAGUCAAGUUGAAAAGACAAGGAAAUAAUAUCAUUAUCAGCCAUAAACUUUCCACUUGCGGAACUGAGUAAAAGUACCAUGCACAUAC
rnacentral:lncRNA from 1 species